GACCGCGUAGCUCAGUUGGAAGAGCAUUGGGCUAGUAUCCAAAGGUCGUAGGUUCGAAUCCCGCCGUGGCCA